GUAGGUGGCAAGCGUUGUCCGGAAUUAUUGGGCGUAAAGCGCGCGCAGGCGGUUCUUUAAGUCUGAUGUGAAAGCCCACGGCUCAACCGUGGAGGGUCAUUGGAAACUGGAGAACUUGAGUACAGAAGAGGAAAGCGGAAUUCCACGUGUAGCGGUGAAAUGCGUAGAGAUGUGGAGGAACACCAGUGGCGAAGGCGGCUUUCUGGUCUGUAACUGACGCUGAGGCGCGAAAGCGUGGGGAGCGAACAGGGAUUAGAUACCCUGGUAGUCCACGCCGUAAACGAUGAGUGCUAAGUGGUUAGGGGGUUUCCCGCCCCCUUAGUGCUGCAGCUAACGCAUUAAGCACUCCGCCGUGGGAGUACGGCCGCAAGGCUG
rnacentral:rRNA from 1 species